rnacentral:rRNA from 1 species
UACGAAGGGGGCUAGCGUUGUUCGGAAUUACUGGGCGUAAAGCGCACGUAGGCGGUUUUCCAAGUUGGAGGUGAAAUCCCUGGGCUUAACCCAGGAACUGCCCCCAAAACUGGAUGACUCGAGUCCGAGAGAGGUGAGUGGAAUUUCCAGUGUAGAGGUGAAAUUCGUAGAUAUUGGGAAGAACACCAGUGGCGAAGGCGGCUAUCUGGACGGUUUCUGACGCUAAGACGCGAAAGCGUGGGGAGCAAACAGG